GGAUGUGAGGGCGAUCUGGCUGCGACAUCUGUCACCCCAUUGAUCACCAGGGUUGGCUAGGCGGGUAUCCCCUUCUUCCCUCACUGCUCCAUGUGCAUCCCUCCCGAAGCUGCACGCUUGGUCGAAGAGGACAGCCUUCCCCGAAUAGAGACUGACAGGUUGUCAGUCGAGGGUAUAUGAGUAGCUGCGCUCCCCUGCUAGAACCUCCAAACAAGCUCACUUUGUCUCUAUCACAGUCUCUUCCUAUUUGCAAAAGUUGGCCUAGAGCAGAGAAGCCCUUAUUAUUAUUUUUUAAAUAUUUAUUUAUUUAUUUAUU
rnacentral:snRNA from 1 species